rnacentral:tRNA from 1 species
GGGGAAUUAGCUCAGUUGGCUAGAGCGCCUGCCUUGCACGCAGGAGGUCAUCGGUUCGACUCCGAUAUUCUCCAC